rnacentral:SRP_RNA from 1 species
UUUCAGGUUCUGCACUAUUCCUCAUUGCCCAACCCCGUCAGGACCGGAAGGUAGCAGCGGUAAGUAAUUGAGAAAUGUGUGCAACUAGCUUGAAAUGA